rnacentral:rRNA from 1 species
UACGUAGGCAGCAAACGUUGUUCGGAGUUACUGGGCGUAAAGAGUACGUAGGCGGUUUGCCAAGUUUGGUGUGAAAUCUCCUGGCUUAACUGGGAGGGGGCGCCGAAUACUGGCGGGCUUGAGUAUUGGAGAGGAAAGCGGAAUUCCUGGUGUAGCGGUGAAAUGCGUAGAUAUCAGGAGGAACACCGGUGGUGUAGACGGCUUUCUGGACAAUCACUGACGCUGAGGUACGAAAGCGUGGGUAGCAAACAGG